UGGUACGCGAGCUGGGUUUAGAACGUCGUGAGACAGUUCGGUCCCUAUCUGCCGUGGGCGCUGGAGAACUGAGGGGGGCUGCUCCUAGUACGAGAGGACCGGAGUGGACGCAUCACUGGUGUUCGGGUUGUCAUGCCAAUGGCACUGCCCGGUAGCUAAAUGCGGAAGAGAUAAGUGCUGAAAGCAUCUAAGCACGAAACUUGCCCCGAGAUGAGUUCUCCCUGAGACUUAGAGUCUCCUGAAGGAACGUUGAAGACGACGACGUUGAUAGGCCGGGUGUGUAAGCGCAGCGAUGCGUUGAGCUAACCGGUACUAAUGAACCGUGAGGCUUAACCUUACAACGCCGAAG
rnacentral:rRNA from 3 species